UAUACAUGAAACGGAAGGACAAUAGUGGAAACGGAAGGCAGGCCAUUUUAUCGCGCUGUGAUUGGCUGAUAAGUUGGCGCGAGGUCAUGUGCAGGUCAUGAUUAACAUGGAAGGGAGAGAGGAGACCCGUGCACUGCAGCAAGCCAUUGGGGUAUUAAGAACUAUUUUAUCAUCAUCUGAAAGGGUCACAUCGUUGUCCUCGUCCCUUGAGCAGCGGAGGACAAGCUCAUCAGGACCUAACGUUACUCACAGCACGGCGGAAAAUGAGACGAGAGAACUUUUCAGACCUUGAAACUCCCAAGUCGCUUCCGCAGCCCAAGCAGCUAACGUUAGCGCUACACAAGGACGACCUGGAGGACUGUCGCAGUCUUUACGAUAUGAGACACAGCUACACUUUGGCAACUGGGGCUCCCGGAAAAGGAAAAGGAAAAGGGCCAAAUCACAUUACCACGAUACUUUCAACAAAGAUAUCAUCCUUCUUCCAAAAUCAUCGAGCAGUGCUGUCAUCAGGCAUUGCACAAAGCAACAGUUACAUAAACAGGGACAGAGCACUGUCACUGAACAAAUAAGGGAUGCCUUUGGAGAAAAACACUCUGAUGUAAGCUUGGAGUUUCUGAUGGCAUGUGGCAACAGACUGAUUUCACCCAAACUGCGUGCUGGACAGAAGUUGGAUGCAAAUCUCACACAUAAAAUAUAUAGAUCAAAAGCCCUAUACAUCAGACCAUCAAAGCCAAUUCUGGAUGAUAUUGCAGGCUGUAGCAGUGGCGACAACAAUUGUGAGGAAAUCACUGGUUCAGCAAGGCAGCUACGCUCCUCAUCUCUAACACGAGAUAGACCCUCAUAUGCAUCUUCAGAGAACUUCACCAGUCCAAUGACUGUCUCCCCACCAAACUGCUUCUGCAAUUCAACCAUUUACCUCAUCACUUGGGGGUGGAGAGAUAUUUACACAAACUUCUUCUUUGACCUCCCAAAGCAGUAUAUCUCCCAACUGCAGCAGCAUUUCAGCAUGAAUUAUUCUAAAUACACAUUUGUUGCAUCUUUGUUAAAACAAUAAGGUGCUAAUAUCUUAAGUACAGUUCAGAUUUUAAUAAAGUUCUAUGAAGGCAAUAAAAACACUUUAAAUGUAGAGAAUUAUUGUGUAGUAAGCUUAAAAUUAUUUCUAUAUUCUAUAUUUUAGCCAGGAUGUUUGCUUGUGAAUUUAAAGAGCUUAGUGUUGUUCACCACUCCCUGCCUGGUCCAAGAUAAGAGGACAACUCCUCUUAUAUAAGUUAAGGAGGUCACCUUUAGCAUACUUGUACUGAAACAAAGGCAAGUUCAAUUGUUAAAUAUUAUUUAAGUGUAGUAGAGUGAAUGAUUUGUUAUGAUUUUCUUUUCCCACCACAUCAAGGCCCUGAUUUAAAGCAAGUAAUAUAUUUUUCCAAAUUGUCAUGAAAUGAUUGAUUUUAUAUAUCUUGGGGAAACUUUUAUUUUGAAGCAUCCAAAUGCUUUGCUCUUAUGUCAAGCGGACAUGUCACUGAGCUGAUUUCCAUUGAAUUGGCUGAGCAUAGUAUUGCUCUACACUAAUCCUAUGGAAAGGGUCUAAAACUAAUAAACAGGUGGUUUAGAUUUGUCUGAAUGGUCAGAUAACAGUUUUUUAAUCAAUAUGUAAAAUUGAUUGAUUGUUGAAAAGCCUUCAGUGUGUCAAUUUAUGUGCAAUGUGAAACUAUUUCCUGUUUGUCGUCGUUCUACUGCUUCUGUGUUGCUUCUUGUGCAUCUCCUAAAUCCUAUUCUCACAGAUGCUGCAUGAAUGUUGAUGUUAGCGUUUUGUCAUCUUAUUUUAAAAAGGACAUGUUAAAGAAAAGUAACAGUUCAAUACAAUUUAUUGAGUUCUUCACUCAAACCUUCAAUAAAGGUUUCACACAUUUAA